GUUCCAGAUGUGGACUGGUAAUGACUUUGGGGUCUAGUUAGACUGCUGUUUGCUCAGAUGGAGGUUUUUUUGGUUUCGAUUUAACUAAUUUCUUGUUUUAUCAAUUUCUAGCUGCCUUUUGAAACUUUUUUCAUAACAUAGAAAGAAUUAGGAGGGUUUUAAGAUAGAAUUUUUGAAGAUCCUUUGGUUCAGGCAAGUGAAUGAACAUCCAUGUCUGAUUUAACUUCCUGAAUCAGGGAAUCAUCCUCUUGUUGCACUCUGUUCAAGCAUUGUUUACCAACUUUGUGACUACAUGGGCACAGUGAAGACUCGGAGUCUCCCUCCAAACCCCAAGAUGAACUCAUGAAAUUAGUGUUAAGGCUUGAUAUAUAUAUAUACACAGAUAUAUAUGUAUCUAUGUGUAUGUAUGUAUAUAUGUGUAUAUAUGUAUCUGGUGCUUUCAAAGAGUGACAAAUCUGUACAAGAAACCAUUAUCUGGAACAUAGUUAAGAAUGUUAGGGAAACAAUAUUCAGGGCGUUUAUUUAGAAAAUUGUACUUGGGCUGAGAGCAUAUGCUAUUCAUGUGUGUCUUCUAAAAAUAUUUUCACAUGCAAAUUACACACCCGCUGGCUGCUCAGUUCUAACCAUGUUGUUGCUGCAUGAUGGUCUCUGAGAAACUGAGAAUGGAGUGGGAGGUACCAGCUGAAAAUGUUUGCUCUGAAGGUUUUGUUUUUGGGAUUUUUACUUCUGCUUGACUUUCCACCUCUUUCCAAAACCUAACAUAAGACCAUUUCCAAAAUGGCACUUUUCAAGUUUGAAUUUUAAUGUAAGAAUAAUAAAGUAACUAAUUAUGUAUGUACCUCUUUUUCUCUGUUUAAUUGCUUAACUAUAUUAUGUUCUGUUGAUCAAGUACAGACCACAAGAAAGCCAUUGUCUCAAUUUUUUUUGUAUAUGAAGUCCAGGUGACUCUGAUUGUAAACUUUCUUGCAUUCCUCAACUAUUUUUAAGCCCACAAAUUAGUAACAUUACUGAUUGUGAUAUAUACACAUAGUAUACUUUUGUUAUUGCAUUGCAGUAUUUUAACCAAAGGGAGAGAGAUCUUUACUAAGGAGAGAGAGAUUCUAAAAUAAGAGGCCAGGGUUUUUUUUGUCAACUGCUGCCAGUUUAAACCCUUUAUUUUUUCUGGAGUAAAAACCUCUUACAUUUUUAUGACUCAUUUUCAAAAGUACAGAAAAAAAAAAGCACUGCAUUUUUUUCGCUACUAUAGUGCCUGUAGCCUUGACAGAACAGGAGAAAUUUAUAUAUUGCUCUGAGGUAAAGGUAGAUUUCUUUUUUUCUUCUUGGGUCUUAUAAGAGUGCCUCUUAUUUUGUCAUCUUUAACAGGAGAGUGUUUUUUGCUGUGUAGAAAGAGAGAAGCUGAACACUUGACACCUGAUGCAGUGCUCUCAGAAAUCACUGCAAAGAUUUCAAUUUGGGAAUUGCAGCUAGCCUUCAAAAUAAUUUCUUAAUUUUCAUACUAUUCUUAAAGUUAUUUUACCUCCAUUUCCUACAGCCCAUAGGCUUCUGACCCCAUUCUAGUAGGGAGCAAUAGCCAAAAGUUAAUUUAGUAUUUCUUGUGUUUUCAGAAAUGAAUUAUUUUUGGGAAUAUUUCUGAUGGGAACAUACCAGUGAUGAAAUGUUUUUUUCUGAAACCCAUGGAAAGCUGAGUGCUAUCUGAUAUGAUCAUAGUGAUUAUGUUGUGCAUUUGCGUCCUUAGGAAUCUUCCAGUAAUUAGGUUAUGUUUCUGUGGUGUUGUAUUGCUACUCUUGUGAAAAUCAGCAAAAAAUAUAAAAUACAACUUAAUGUUGAUGUAGGAAUUUGGGUAAGACUCAGCAUGAGGAAAUAUGACAACAGUCAAACAAAAUUAAUGUCUUUGUAGUGGCAAAGAUAUUGGCUAACUUGGUGUUAAGGACGUGAAAAACUUAUGUGAAAGUUUGGAGUUGCAUUGGUUAAAAGACUUUCAAAGUAAGAAGGGGUACAGCAAGCCAGGUGUUUUGAAAUUAAAUGAACAAAUAUUUAACACUUGCCCAGAUGUGAUAUGCUGGUUUCUGGUUUCAUACAUUAAUUGCUCUUUUAAGACAGGUUAUAUUUGACUCUCCUUUUUGUUUGGCCUUUAUACAGUUUUUCUCUUCCUCUGUAUGGAAGUCUGGAAUUUUUAAGGUGUUUUUAGGUUUAACUGAUUGAUUUAUAGCAGAAUUCCAAGAUAUAUUAUCAGUAAGAUUUCAUUCAUUUUGAAAAUAGUGGUUUUCAGCAGUAGUUGCUAAAGACAGUGUUGUACAGGAAUUUAGGAAAACUGGGAUGGUGUUAAAGGUGCUAUUACUCUUUUGUGUGUGUUUAUAAAAGGGAAAUUAAUACUAAAUUAUAUCUAUGCAAGUAAACAAUAAUUGAUAUAAUGACACUUCCAGAAAGAAUUGAAAUUGUUUCAUUGUUUUCAAAGUAACUUUAACGUCUUCUUUGAUAAAAGAAGUGGUAAGCAAAUGUAUAGUUAAAGUUGAACCUUGUGAAUCUUGGAAAAAAAUUUCUAAGAAUCUUAGCUGCAGAACCCAAUUCCUAUGUUAGCAGAGCAAAGAAUAUUAAGUAACACACUCACUGUCCAAGAAAUUGGCCAGUUCUUUUUACACUCCAUCAUGUGAUUGAAGAUAUUUUUCAUGUAUUCCGGUACUUUCAGAAGGAAGAAGUCUUUUUAAGUAGACUAAUUCUAAGUUUGUAAGAUGUCAGUUGGUACUGACAAAGGAAGAAAGAACAAUGAUCCAUUUUGUGAAAUUUAAAAGUGAUAUAUUAUCCAUUCUUACUUACUAUUUAAACUUGUACUGACAUAGCAUUACCUGUCCAUUAGAGACUUUCCUCUCUGGUACUUGAAGCACUUGAGCUACAUUUUAUCACCAUUAUCUUGUGGUUCUCUUCUUACUUCAUCUUGGAGGUUUUUGCUGUCUGCAAUCCCAUUUGACUAAACGUCCUGUGUAAGGAUGCUGGUAUUGUUACAGCCACUUUACACUGUGUGUGAACCGAGGCUCCAGCUUCUGGCAUCUCUUUCAAGUGAGUGCUGUGUAAAUGCAAAGAAAGACUGAUGCUUAUUCUGAGGAGUUUAAAAUGCCUGUCCCGUCUCCUCUUUCUGGAAUUGUCAGCAUAUUACAUACUUCCCUGAUUUUUCAGAGUUGCUUGACCCUAAAGAGUUUGUUAAAGUUGAUAGGACUAAUUCUGUGUGAGUUUAAAGCCCUUGCAAAAUCUUUCCUGUUUCUGAAUUAUCAUGUUGUGGUUUUGUUUGGGUUUUUUUUAAUGUCAGAAAAAUUUAUUUGUAUACGAAGUCAUUCCUUAGGUAGGGCAAAUGAAAGAAAAUAAUUUGUCUUUAUUAAAGUGUAGGACCCCAAUGUUUUUAUGUGACAGUUUUUAUUUGCUUCUGGUGCUGAAUCACCACAUUAUUUUGUUACGCUAGUUGCUGUAAGAAUGCAUGUAGUUCUUCACCCUCAAAUAGGAGACAUUUUUGGCCUAGAGACCACUACCCUUUUCUAAAUAAAUUAUUUUUUUUAACUCUCCGAACUGUUUUUAGAGCAUUUUUUCUGUAAUUCCUGGACCCUGGAUUGACAGGGGGUGUAGGGAGUGGAUGAAUGGGAUCAAGGAGGUAACAAAAAAUGAUUACCUUUUUCCUCUCUAGCCUAAAAUAUCAAUAGUUCAACUUCUAGCUGAAUUGAAAUAUUGCUGAGUUCUGGCUUGCUGAUAUAAAUUUAGCACCUCUCUCCUUCUGAAGUAUUGCAAACCAUUGGCCUGUUAAGUGCAUCUAAUUUUAUGUCUUCUUCCCUGUCAAUCUCUCAACCUUUCUUUGCAUUUUAAAAUUAGAGAUACGUUCCAAAGCUAUGGUCGUGUUCAGGACUUGUUCUGUAUGAAGCAGGAUUUCUACCUUUGCCUUUAGAACGGAAGGGAAUGGCUGUAAUUGUCCUUUUCAGCCUGACAGUGUUUUUUCCGUAGAUCAGAAAUGUUAUUAACUUGCCACACGGGUAAUUUUUAUAUAAUCUGCGGUGUGCUAAUGCAGAAGUUUUGAGGUGUCAUUCUCUGUACACAAUAUGGUAUAAUUGACACAACUCUUUUUUUUCUAUUGGUUGCUUUUUUUCCUAGUUAAACUUUUCAGUAAAUUCAUUCUACACCUUGACCAAAACUCAAAACCACUCAUCUGCUUUUUACAUGGCAGCAGCACCUAGUAAGGUGUGGCCAUACCUGUGUUGGCAAAAUACCAUGGAGCAUCUCCUUGCGAUUUUUUUUUCUCUCUUCUCUCAGACAGGGUGCCAGGGCAGGGACUUGUUGCUUGGUAGUCAGGUAAUGACCUUCCUUUCUCAACUAGAGUGCCAAACACCACACUUCUAAGAAGGGUUACAAACAUGGAAAUGCAGCUAGUUUUAUUACAAACAACUAUUCUAAAGUAAUCUUUUUCUUUCUAAAACACAAAAGCAAUAGAGUUUAUUGUUAAAAGGGAACUUAAAUAUUUAGUAGACUACUUACCUUUCUUAAUCAGAAAAAAUAUUGAAGUUUCUUCACACAAGUGUAUCUAAGCUACACAAGCUAUCUAAGGUAGAAAAUUGCUGGUGAAGAUGCUCUGUCAGUUUGAGAAUCUGACUGACCUCUUGGUUUCAGCUGUGGAAUUGCUGGCUGGAUUAUUGUCUCUUCCUGCUUCCUACCUGCAUGUUUGAACCAUGUCCCUUUCUUUCAUGACUUUGUGGUUGAUGUGUUUGCACCAUGAUGUGACCUAACUUCUGACACUUAAACACUGGCGAGAAACUAAUCUCUUUUUGUGGAUAUGUAGGAGAAAAUUUUUGGAGUAGCCUAUAGUUUAAGUGAAUGAGGUCAAAUAGGGACAGGCCCUCUAUGGCACCUAGCAAAUAGCAGUGGCUGCUAAUGAAUGCUUGGGGAGGGCAUGUGAAUAAUGUCUGGAACUAUAGAAUUUAAAUGCUUUUCUGUGUAUUUAAAAAUACCCCAGAACCAAGUGUUUUAAAAUGACCUUUGAAUGGUCCUAAGACCAAAGUUAUCAAAGCUGCUAAAGUAAAUUUCUUUUUUUUACUUUUACUGCUAUUUAUUUAUUGUUGCUAUUGUUACCACUUAAGUAGUGCCUAUAUUGUUUACAGUAGUGUCCACAGUAUCAAUAUUUGAAGUUAUUUAAUUCAAAUAUUAAAUGUUCAGGUAUUAAAUGUUCAAAUGAAAUAAUGAUUUAGAGGAUGAAGUUUAUUUUGUUUGGCAGAGUUAAUGUAUUGUCACACAGCAUAGAUAAACUGUCACACUAUUUCAUGCUUCAGAACAGAGGAUAUUACUGAACUGAUAUAAGGCAAAUUUAUUUUGUAAUCCAGCUUGGGUAACCAUGUUUUUAUAAAACAUUUUAAAUUUUUUUUUAUUACUUGUAGAUUGUUUCAGUGAGUGUGUUUUGGGGUGUUUUUUUGGUUUUUUUUUUUUUUGGUUUUUUUUUUUGGUUUUUUUUUUGUAAUUAGCAAUGCUGUAACAUAUUUCUUGCAUGAAAGAAACACAAAUCCAAAAUGGAGGUCCUUAUCAGAGCAAAACUGGAGGAACAAAACAAAAUGGCAGUACUAAAGCAGAGGUUCCCAAACUUCCUCUGCUGAAGUUUUUGGUCACUGACCUUGAUAUCUAAAGGACUGUUGGGGCCAGUGAUGUUAAUUUCUCUUUAUAGGUAUUUUUUUAGGUUUCUAGGUAUCUCUCAGAGCAGGACCUCUAUCCUACAUUCAUCAGCCUGUGAACUACCUGAAACCAGGACCCAACCCUGUGCUUGGAGUUCAAUUAUUUCAGAUGAUCUGUAAAUUUUCAAUAAUGGCAAUACAUUCAUUCUGCCAUUUGGAGGAGCCUGUGCCACAGAAUAAUGAUCUGAAGAAAGCUCACUCAUUUGCUAGGACGAGUCUUAAUUUGGGAAUUAGCACUGAUGCAGCUCAAGGAUGCUUUUUCAUGUCCAGACUCCUUCAGCAGAACUGUUAUUUUCCUAACACAAUCUCUGGUACAAGGAUAAAAUUGGGUUUUUGUCAAAGAACAGAGUCCUGUAUCUGAAGAGUAAGAAGGUCCUUGACAUUCAGUGGGAUGACAAUCUCAGAACUGACUACUGGGGACUCCCAAGCUACAGAUCAGGAGGAGAGUCUGUUGCCUUAUCUGCAAUACACCUAUGGGAGUUUCAGGGUCUUCCAGGAGAGGAUAUCUCAUUCCUGACAUGCUCACCAAGAAGAGGUGAUGGAGCCUGUGUGGUGCUUUGAAGAUUAACUUCAUUAUCAUGCUGUGGAAUGGGCAGCUGGAAUUGGCAGAUGCUUUUUCAAACAACCAAGCAAAGUGCAGGUACGUGUGGAAGUACUAUUGUGCAGUUGAACUAAAGGAAUUUUGCUGGAUAUCUGCUUGCCUGUUAUUGUCGUUGGCAAGUUACAGGUAAUUUCCAAAGCUGUAGUCUGGCAGGGGAGGAAGAAUUGCUUUUAUGUGUAUUUUUCAAGCCAAGACACACAAUUUUCUUUUACCAGUGUUUUUACAAGGAUUCAAAAUUAGUGCAACAUUGUUGCUAAAAAUUAGUUUUAAAAGAAAAGGAGGUAUGAAGAGAAUAGUGACACCUGAAUGGCACAGAGAAAACUUUUGUCAGAUGAACUCUUGACAGAAUCUGACAGAAAUUCAAAGUCUAGUUUGUGUCUAGUAAUUCCAUUAGCAUUUCAAAGGUUGGUAAUGUUCUGGGAAUGACACAGGAGGGAUUAUUUUUAAGUUAAGAAUUAAUACUCUAAAGUGUUGCCUGUGCUAGGAAUAUUGUUGCUAUCUUGCAAUAGGUAAAUGGACUAUAUCUGAGACACUUGGUUUACUAUCAGACAUUUCUCUACUUUAUCUGUACUGGCAUAAUUAAAGUAUCAGCCAUCUUUACCCGGUGUGAAUAGAGCUGUAUCAGUAUAAAACUGUAUCUGUUGGUAGCUUAUUUUCACAUUGAAGGAAACAACCUAGGACUGCUGGCCCAAUUCCAGGAAUUGUUUUUAAUUAUAUUGCAGUUGCUAUGCCAGUAUAAACUAUUCCUAUUGCAGAUCUUGCACCAGAUGAAAGUGACUUCAAUCUAGUUUAUGUGCCCUUAUCCAUACAGCCUCAUAAAAAAUUACACCACUUCAGUUUCACAUAUUUGAUUUUCCUUUGUAGGCAGACUUGCUCUUUACACUGACUUAUCUCCAUUUAUUCUAAAAGAUAUAAACAAUGGGUGUUUUGACAAUGAAAAUGCAUCUUCUGUUCUGAUAUAAGCCUAAUCUAUUCAGUUAAUGCUACAACAAGUACAUUUACUGUGAAGGUUAAAAUAUUUCCAUCUGGCUGUGUGCACCAGAGCCUAUAGAGCAGCUGUCCCCGUCCUGAAUCCUAACAACUCUGUUAGUCAGCAUGGAGUACAAUGUUUUACGUACUCUUAUCAACUUUCAACUGCUCUUUUAUAGAUCAGUGUCUUGCCUCACUUUUUCUACUAUCUAGUAUGUGUUAUCUAAGAAAGAGUUAGGAAGGUUGAAGUUGGAAUAUAAGAAAUUGGAUCACUUGCAAAUAGGGCUAAUCUGCAUGUGCUUGUUGUAUACAGAUAUUGUUGAGUAGAUUCAGAUCAUCUCUGUUUUAAAGCUACAAGUGAGGGAGAGAUCUUUGAUCCCAUCUUAAAAUGUGGGGAGCGGAUUGUGAUGGGGAAAAGAACUGAAAAUAAGUAUAAAAUAAUUCUAAGUAUACUGCUCUAAGCCUGGGAGCAGUAAAGAAAGGACUCGCCAGAGACUAACAGGAACAGAAAGAGUCAAAAGCCUGGGGACCUUUGACCGUUCAGAGAACAUUCACUAACUUUAAUUAGUUGUUGUCUGUCCUGUGCUUACUGACUGUUUCUUCCACCUCUAGCUGUCCAUUCUAACUCUUCACUUCUGCUUCAUUUCUGCAUACUACAUAUGCUUCCUCCCACCCAAUGUGCCCUCCUUACCCUGUACCUCCUUCUAAGUUGUUUGCAAGUAAAAGCCACCUGCAAAGUAGAACUACCGUUAUGUUUACUGCAGUCCUGCUGUUUGUGCUGUGUGUGGACUUUUCCCCUGUGCUGUCUUACCUGUUUAGACUUGGCUUUUUUUAUGUGGUUGGGGACAUUUUACUGUUCUGUGUAUUUGUUCUAUCCAGCAUAAAUGUAACUUCAAUUUUCAUAAGUCCUUAUAAGACCUUAAGUAUAGUUUGGAAUAAUGCUCCUUUAUCCUAUUCUUUUAUAAAAAUCAUUCAUAGGCAAAUGACCACUCUUAAUGAGAUUAAAUAUAUGAGAUUCCAUGGGAUAAAAAGGAAUUUUGCUUUUCAGUUUUUUUAUAGGUGAACCAGUGAUUUAAAAGUAUAAUGUUACAGCUGUUGUUAUAUUAGUGUCCAGCAUAAUAGGAUGAACAUUUCAGAAUGAAUUUUCUAUUUGCUGUGUUUGCAUUGUACAUGCAGUGGUUUGCAAAUUGCUGGUUUGUUUUCCAUGUCUUACAGCUAUAUAAUUUGCUUUCUAAAAACCAUUUUGGUAGGUGUGGGUUGCUUGUCAGAAAUCCAUUCUGAAGCUUGAGUGCAAAGGAAGCAGAGUACUAAUGAUGAAUACGAAUGGAUAUCUUAAGGAUAACAAUGGAUCUUCAAAAGCAGUGGCAUUCUGGUCCUAGUCCUGCAACUGGAUUUAUUCAAAUGGACCUCGAUAGCCUGGGGGCCUGAUGAAGCUCAUGGGACUCUGGUGACUGCAGGUUCUCACUCUGAAGAUCUGAUUGUAGGCCUGAACCUAAAUUUCUAUUUCGUUCUCCUGUCUAUUUGCUUCUUAAGUGAUGAAAAUUAUCCUUUAAAAUGGUGUUGUCUUUGAAUCUCAUGUACAUCCACUUUAGUAGUGUUCCAACACUGUGUGCCUGGGAUGUUGUCAGACGUUAAAUUAUUUCUGUUCUGUUGAGUGUCUAAACCUCAUGAUUUCUCUGAUUAUUGUGUUAGAUUUUUCUGUUUAGUGUCUUUCUACCUAAAAUGGAGGAGAUCAUCACCUGUGUUUUCAAUCGUUGUGGUAUUUCUCUUAACUCAGAUUUUUAAGUCAGAGUAAUUGUUGAAAGUGUUCUGGUUAUUUUUAAAGAUAUAGGCAGAUUUGUUUAUUUCUUGCUGGACACAAAGUAUAAUAUUUUAUUUUGCAAACUUGGUAGCCUAGUAUUACUGAAAGCUUUCAAUAUGAUGAUACUCUGAUGUAAUAAAAUAAGUAGGAAAAGACCCUUUUACUAGCUCUCCUGUUGCUUUUCUAUUCCUGUGGCUGUGGUUACACAACAUCAGAGUGUUGUGUAAAAAAAAAGUGAAGAUAUUUUUAUUUUUUGUGAGUCAGUAUAUACCUUUUGUUGACAAUAAGCGCCGCUCCCUCUCCUAUUCCAUGUUGCAAUUUCACUGAAUAAUAAAGUUAUAGCCCUGGUAGAACCUAUAGAAAGGACUUUGAAAAUCACAUGUAGAGGGUGAUCACAAAUAGAGUGUAAAAGGAAAAAUAGAUGUGUUCUGUCUUUAUACAUGUUGGUAUAUAAGUUGUAUAUAUUUUUAAAGCAAGUAUGUAGCAGUGUAUGAUAAUUCGUAUAUUAAAAGAGCCAAAACUUACUUUCUAUAUAGAGAAUCAGAAAAACUUGUUUGGUUUUUGUAGGCUUGUUACAAUGAUAUUAAGGAGCUUCACAGUAUUUGAUGAUUUUUUGUGUAUUCCCAGAACAGAAAAGCACCAUUGUCCUGUUAAAUCAAGGAGAAAACUGAGCUACUUGUUUAGUGAGUAGUAAAGUCAAUGAUAUUAAAUGGAUUCUCCUGCCUUUUAA